rnacentral:lncRNA from 1 species
AAGAAUUAAAUUAAGAGAAAAUUAAUUAUAUUUAAAUUUGAUAUAUCUAACAAGAAGAUGAAAGAAGAAAAAGGGGAAUGGAAGAGAAGAGAAGAAGGGCGGUUAAGAAUUCCCAGUCCCAACAAUAGAAACCCAACACGGCUCCACAGUUCAUGAGAAAGUAAUGCAAAUUAACCAAUCAAUUCGCCUCCCUAGCUAUAUUUUUGGAAAUAUAUGCUUGAAAAGUUUCUCUAUAUGUGUGCAUGUUUACCUCUUCUUUUAUAUAUAUAUAUAUAGUCCAGCCGCCAGAAGAAGGGAAUUGAUUAUACAUGGCAAUUCUCAAUGGUGAAAUUUUGUUCGGGUCUACUCUUAAAAUUUUGAUUUAGUAGGUG